rnacentral:misc_RNA from 1 species
CAGAGUUGAAAAACUCCAACCCCUGUGAACCUUACCUUCUUGUUGCUUCGGCGGAAUGGCCUCCCUCGGGGGGCGACGCCGCCGGAGGUAUCAAACUCUGAAUUUUAGUGUAUCUCUGAGCAUAAAAAAACAAUAAUUA